rnacentral:rRNA from 1 species
UACGGAGGGUGCGAGCGUUGUCCGGAAUUAUUGGGCGUAAAGAGCUUGUAGGCGGUCUGUCGCGUCUGCUGUGAAAAUCCGGGGCUCAACCCCGGACUUGCAGUGGGUACGGGCAGACUAGAGUGUGGUAGGGGAGACUGGAAUUCCUGGUGUAGCGGUGAAAUGCGCAGAUAUCAGGAGGAACACCGGUGGCGAAGGCGGGUCUCUGGGCCGAUACUGACGCUGAGGAGCGAAAGCGUGGGGAGCGAACAGG